rnacentral:lncRNA from 1 species
GCUCUCAACUGGCGACGAUGGUUGUGCAUUCCCUGGGGUGCUGUCAACUGACGACGAUGGUUGUGCAUUCCCGGGGGUGCUGUCAACUGGCGACGAUGGUUGUACAUUCGCAGGGGUGCUGCCAAUUGGCGACGAUAGGUUUGCGUUCGCGGGGGUGCUCUCAACUGGCGACGAUAGUUGUGCAAUUCCAGGGGUGCUAUCAAUUGGCGACGAUGGUUGUGCAUUCCCAGGUGUGCUAUCAAUUGGCGAUGAUGGAUGUGCAUUCGCGGGGGUGCUGCCAAUUGGCGACGAAGGUUGUGCAUUCGCGGGGGUGCUGCCAAUUGGUGACGAAGGUUGUGCAUUGGCGGGGGUGCUCUCAACAGACGUCGAUUUUGCCCAAAGCCCAGUUGUGGACGGAAUGAUAUGGGCGGGAGUGCCAUGGGGAAUGGCAUUGACCGGUGUGACGAAUCUUGUGGCGAGAAUUCGACCUUCGGCCGCACG